GCCAGCGCUACGCGAAUUCUCUUGUCGAUAUUUGACUAAAACUAUCGUAAGGAAUUAGGAGAGUUUGUCCUUGUUUAUAUUCCAAUAUAUUGUAUAAAUUCGCUGGGUACAAAUUUAUGAAAUACACAACGGAUGUUAUGAGUCAACGACGUAUAUUUAUAGUUGUUUAUUAAAAAGUCAAACUGUCAAACCUUUAACUUGUCCUUGUUUAAAUAUCCUUGAUAUAUUGUAUAAAUUCGCUGGGUCCAAAUUUUGUGGUUUUCGAGUCGUUACACAAAGAAAAACACAUUAAUUCAACACGCAAGAAAGUCCAGAGUACGACACAACGUAAAAUUGAUUGGAAACCGGCACAAUUCUUUGAAAAUUCAACGAAACUGUGUAAAAUAUAGUUCGAUCACUCUGUGAAAAGCCGCCAUUGGAGUUCGGAAUUGUGCGCGUGCGUAUAGGCUAAUAAACGAAAAAUGUACCACAAGCAUUGCACGAGUCGGCUAUUACGUACAUAUAUACGAGCUGAUUACUUUAUUAACUAAAUCAUGGAACUGAGGGACUCGGUGGCAUUUUGGCUUAAUCGCUGCAUCCUGAGCCUGCGAUGAGCUAACGCAAACUCGAUUUCUUGACUACGAAAAAAACAGAAAAAGGGGGAUUUAAGACACUUGGCCUACAGGCCAGUGUAAUAAUGAAAAUUACGGACCGGAAACAUUGGGAAUCAUCCUAAGGUCAAUGCCAGGUAGACCAAAAUUUGAAAUUUUGAGAGACCAGCUGCAGUAUUUGCAGAGAAUUGGCCACACCAUCCAGUAGCUGUACAAUUAUAUAUCUAGCCUGUAGUAGAGAUGACUGAAUAUCAUCUGACGCCGAAGCUCUCUC